rnacentral:rRNA from 1 species
CCUACGGGCGGCAGCAGUGGGGAAUCUUAGACAAUGGGGGAAACCCUGAUCUAGCCAUGCCGCGUGAGUGACGAAGGCCUUAGGGUCGUAAAGCUCUUUCGCUGGGGAAGAUAAUGACGGUACCCAGUAAAGAAACCCCGGCUAACUCCGUGCCAGCAGCCGCGGUAAUACGGAGGGGGUUAGCGUUGUUCGGAAUUACUGGGCGUAAAGCGCACGUAGGCGGGCUGUUAAGUCGGGGGUGAAAUCCCGGGGCUCAACCCCGGAACUGCCUUCGA